UACGAAGGGGGCUAGCGUUGCUCGGAAUCACUGGGCGUAAAGCGCACGUAGGCGGCUUUUUAAGUCAGGGGUGAAAUCCUGGAGCUCAACUCCAGAACUGCCUUUGAUACUGGGAAGCUUGAGUCCGGAAGAGGUGAGUGGAAUUCCGAGUGUAGAGGUGAAAUUCGUAGAUAUUCGGAAGAACACCAGUGGCGAAGGCGGCUCACUGGACUGGUAUUGACGCUGAGGUGCGAAAGCGUGGGGAGCAAACAGG
rnacentral:rRNA from 1 species